UGUUGAAAUGAAAGAAGAUACUUUUUACUACAUUAUUUUGUUAAAUUGAAAGAAAAUACUUUUUUUACAUCAUGAAAAGAAACAUUUAAAUCAACCAAACAUGAAAAAAUUGAAAAAUAUUUUCAUACCAAACACACCCUUAAUGCCAAUUGCCACUGGGCAUGAGCGUGAAGAACUUCAGGCUGAGCGUCAGUAAAUGAAGAUCCGUUUUGAUGAUGGAAGUGGUGGUUUAAUUGAAAAUACUGAUCAAGCGAGCUAAAAGAAUCCAAACCUCAAAUCUAUAAUUGGAAUCAGGGAGAGAUAUUUUGGAGAUGGAUCAUCCAGUUGGACAAUUUGGUACCAAGGUUAGUAUUUGUUCAACUUUUAUUUUACAUCUUGAAGUAAUUCUUAUAUUGGAUAUUAAUAUUUGUGGUGUUCUGAGAGGUUAAGAUUAAGAACACAAGAUAUGAAGGUUUCUUGUAGUUGAUUAACAUAUGCACAACCGAAAAGGGUUCAAAAUGCCCCUAAACUAUUGGAAAAGGUUUAAAGAUAUCCUUCAUCCACCUAUCGGGUUAAAAAUACCCCUCCAUCCACUUUUUUGGUUC